rnacentral:rRNA from 1 species
AUACGGAGGGUGCAAGCGUUAUCCGGAAUCAGUGGGUUUAAAGGGUCCGCAGGCGGAUUAAUAAGUCAGUGGUGAAAUCCUCUCGCUCAACGAGAGAACUGCCAUUGAAACUGUUAGUCUUGAAUUCGGUCGAAGUAGGCGGAAUGUGUCAUGUAGCGGUGAAAUGCAUAGAUAUGACACAGAACACCGGUAGCGAAGGCAGCUUACUAGACCUGGAUUGACGCUCAUGGACGAAAGCGUGGGGAGCGAACAGGAUUAGAAACCCCAGUAGUCC